GAACGUUUAAUCUACUAUCUGCAUGCAAUAUCCAUUAAAUUAAGGUGAGUUUAUUUUUUGUGAAAUUUUAGUUGUUGUUACCGCGUGAAUGAAGUUAGCAGCGAGAACAAGAAGCGAUGCAUUGUGGGUCAGAAUUACUGCGGAAAAAAAUUCUAUUGAAUGAAUGUGCAGUAGUCCGAAUUUUCUCUUCGCCCAGGCGUUGUCGUUAGAGCUCGCAGUGACGAGCGGCGCUUUGCGCCGCUCGCUGCGCUCGCUAUUAAAUCCAUUGGUGAUUAAGACAAAAAAGAUUCUGAAAUUGGAGUGAAGGCAUCAACAACCUAAAUACACUAUAUGCACACUGAACUGUGGAACUUGUGUCCAAAGAAUUGGGGAUACAAGUCCAUGUCUGCUUGGUUGAAUUAAAUGAGACCAGGAUUCCAACAAAAUUACGAGAGUUGGAAAAGAAUAUAACUAACGCUGACAAGUGACAGCUAAUUGGAGUUGCACACAUUUUCCUGUGGAAAGGUAGAGAUAGAAAGAAUUAAGUCAACAAAUUGUCCAAGAAGAAGUUUGAUUUCUUGGUGGAGACCCAACCAUUUGUGAAGAGUUCAGAAGACUUCCAAGAUGACUUUGCUGUUGUUCAUCAAAUAAUUUCUUCUGACAAAUUCCAUUCUGAACCUCAAGAAUGUGUUAGCCCUAUACUAGGAACACAUUGUCAAGUUAGCUAUCAACCCAAUCUCUUUCUCAAGACUUUAGUUUAAUCAUAAUAUAUGUAGUUUAAAACAUUUCUUAUCAUUACUUUUAUAAUUUUUAUACAGUAGGAGAUGACCACCAGAAUACAUCUAUAAAUUUUUAAGCAGUGUGGAUUUUUCUGUUAUCCAUGUAUCUAAUAUUAUUUUGCUGUAUAAUAAUACAAACUAUAAGAUUUUAUUGUUUUGCUUUCAUACUAGAAUUUACAAGUGUAAUUAACCACAGUAGGAUGACACAUGCACAUA